UUUUGCUUUUUCGACAGAGCAGGAGAGGCAAUCAAACAACAAAUCACUCCGACCUCAGUGGGUGUGCUUGUGAGGGCUCCGGGCUGUUCCAAGAGCCGGGGAGGAGUUGGGGUAUUGAAGGCUGCUUGUGUCAGGGCUGGAACCAUUGGAAGUCCAAUACAGGAUAACAGUCCUCAUCUCACAGCAGGGCUGGGGAGCUCUCCUGAGAGGUGUUUUGCAGGACGGCAGGAGCUACUUCUUGCAAGUCUAUUCUUUCUGUGUCCAUCGGACAGCACAGUCACAGAAAGUCCACAGGUUCUACAAGGAGAAGGGUACAUCUGCUCCACGACCCGGGAAUGAGGAAUUGUUCAGUAGCCAGCAUGGUCAGAAAUAAGAUGGAGGAUGUUGACAUGCAUGGCCAGAAACAUGAAUCGGAAAUGAAACCAUGAAAGACUGAACCUCAGCGUCCUGCUGAAUCUUCUUCAGUUCCCCUGAAGAGGGCUGAGCAUUCGGGACCUUCACAUUUCUGAAGGAUGACUCCUGUGAAGGAUGUCCUCCAGGGAAAGGAGUCUCACCAGCCCUGGAAGUACUGUGGCCAUGGCAGUCUGAGGAAUGUCACCUUGUCUUGGGAAUGGGUGCAGUGGACAUCAGGAAGGGACCAUGGAAAGCUGAUGCUGACCACACUCCACAUCAUUAAAAGCAACAAGAAAACCAUUAAUGUCACCAGAGGCAGAAGCACAGGACACCCCAGGAAAGUCAAUGGCCUCACAGACAACUUGUCAGCCACCUGAAGCACUUGAGUGACCCAGGCUCUGCUGAGUAAAGAUCUUCCUACUAUAGCUAUGUCUCAGCUGGAGCAAGGGCCAGUGCUCCAUGCCCCAGACCAUAUUCCUAUCUAGGUGGCUCCUUCAUCUUCAUGCUCCAGUCCAAUCUUAGGCAGGGGCUGGUGUGGGGAAGUUCCCCUAGUUGGGAAGAAGGGGGUGAUUCCCUUUCCACUUCUGCAAUGACUACCCACAACUUGCAUUUUGAAGGGACUGUCAGUCUAUUUCUGUCCUGUUCUUUGGCAGAGGAGGUGAGGAACCACAUUCAAUACCCAUGAGUGGUCUCUCAAGUGGCAACGCUUUGCUCCAAGUCCCUGUAGAAAACAUAGCUUCUCCCUUCCCUCUGUGUCCUGCAUGUUUUCCUUCUCAGACAAAAGCAUAAUCCAUUAAAAGCAUCUCUCUGCCCAUUAAAGCCAAAGCUAAAAUCUCUGUAGAAAUGCUGCCUUGCAGCCAGAAAGGUAAUGAUUUAGGAGACCACAGCUGGGCUAAGGGUGAGAACAAUGGUGGAGAGGUCGAAAGGGUCCAGAACCCAUUACAGAGUUCCUGAUAACCAUUCCAACUAAAAGGGCCCUGACAGAUUACUCACUACAAAGCUGGAUAAGCCCUGGAUAUUCAUCAGCAUACUGCUGGGCAAGACAGAGAGCUGAGGUUCCAAGGAAGGAGGGACAGGGAGGUGCUAACACACUUGUGCUGGUUUUGGGGAGAGAGUGAACCAUGGAAUGAACAUUGCAUAUAAAGAACAGAUAAGAUUUUGUCAUUUUUUAGUGCUGCGUAAUACUCCAUUGUGUAUAAAUGCCACAGUUUGGAUAGUAGGGGAUAGGAAAGGUAGCAGAAUACAACAGUCAUUAAUAUGGUAUUAUGUAAAAAUGUGGAUGUGUAACCGAUGUGAUUCUGCAACUUGUAUUUGGGGUAAAAAAUGGGAGUUCAUAACCCACUUGAAUCAAAUGUAUGGAAGAUGAUAUGUCAUGAGCUUUGUAAUGUUUUGAACAACCAAUAAAAAAAAG